rnacentral:rRNA from 1 species
GUGCCAGCAGCCGCGGUAAUACGUAGGGGGCAAGCGUUGUCCGGAAUUAUUGGGCGUAAAGCGCGCGCAGGCGGCUUGUUAAGUCCGGUGUUUAAAUCCAGGGCUCAACCUUGGGUCGCACGGGAAACUGGGAAGCUUGAGUGUAGGAGAGGGAAGUGGAAUUCCACGUGUAGCGGUGAAAUGCGUAGAGAUGUGGAGGAACACCAGUGGCGAAGGCGACUUCCUGGCCUAUAACUGACGCUGAGGCGCGAAAGCGUGGGGAGCAAACAGGAUUAGAUACCCUGGUAGUCC